rnacentral:rRNA from 1 species
AACGUAGGAGACAAACGUUAUCCGGAGUUACUGGGCGUAAAGGGCGUGUAGGUGGUUUUGUAAGUCUGGCGUGAAAUUUUUCGGCUUAACCGGGAAAGGUCGUCGGAUACUGCAAGGCUAGAGGACGGUAGAGGCGUGUGGAAUUCCGGGUGUAGUGGUGAAAUGCGUAGAGAUGUGGAGGAACACCAAUGGCGAAGGCAGCCUUCUGGGCCAACACUGACGCUCAUGCACGAAAGCGUGGGGAGCAAACAGG